GCGGCAGGCGGAAAACUUAGGAAGAGCUGGAUGCCUCCCACGGAGAGCGUCCCUUCCAAGCGGCCCCGGAGUGGAGUGGAGUGGAGUGGAUAGGGGUAGACUUUUCACACGGGGACAAAUUAUUACAGGAUAUCUGCGCCCCCUGUUCCGAGUCACUCGGGGCCAUCGGUUACUUCAGCAGGUUCUCUGCAUCACGGACCCUUUUGAGGCUCAGCCGCCGCCGCCCGACCGCCGGGAGGAUGGAGUUCAGCGGGCAGCGGAGCUGUCUCAGUCUUUGCCGCCGCGCCGGCGAGCGCCGCCCGGGAGGCAGCGGCUGGAGGAGCGGACGGGCCCCGCGGGGCCCGAGGGCAAGGAGCAGCCGCCUGCCUUGGCCUCCCAAAGUGCCGAGAUUGCAGCCUCUGCCCGGCCGCCACCCCGUCUGGGAAGUGAGGAGUGUCUCUGCCUGGCCACCCAUCGUCUGGGAUGUGAGGAGCCCCUCUGCCUGGCUGCCCAGUCUGGAAAGUGAGGAGCGUCUCCGCCCGGCCGCCAUCCCAUCUAGGAAGUGAGGAGCGCCUCUUCCCAGCCGCCAUCACAUCUAGGAAGUGAGGAGCGUCUCUGCCCGCCCGCCCAUCGUCUGAGAUGUGGGGAGCGCCUCUGCCCCGCCGCCCCAUCUGGGAUGUGAGGAGUGCCUCUGCCCUGCCGAGACCCCGUCUGGGAGGUGAGGAGCGUCUCUGCCCGGCCGCCCCGUCUGAGAAGUGAGGAGACCCUCUGCCUGGCAACCACCCCGUCUGAGAAGUGAGGAGCCCCUCCGCCCGGCAGCUGCCCCGUCUGAGAAGUGAGGAGCCUCUCCGCCCGGCAGCCACCCCAUCUGGGAAGUGAGGAGCGUCUCCGCCCGGCAGCCACCCCGUCCGGGAGGGAGGUGGGGGGGGUCAGCCCCCCACCCGGCCAGCCGCCCCAUCCGGGAGGGAGGUGGGGGGGUCAGCCCCCCGCCUGGCCAGCCGUGCCGUCCGGGAGGGAGGUGGGGGGGUCAGCCCCCCGCCUGGCCAGCCGUGCCGUCCGGAAGGGAGGUGGGGGGGUCAGCCCCCUGCCCGGCCAGCCGCCCCGUCCGGGAGGUGAGGGGCGCCUCUGCCCGGCCGCCCCUACUGGGAAGUGAGGAGCCCCUCAGCCCGGCCAGCCACCCCGUCCUGGAGGGAGAUGGGGGGGUCAGCCCCCCCACCCGGCCAGCCGCCCCGUCCGGGAGGGAGGUGGGGGGGUCAGCCCCCCGCCUGGCCAGCCACCCUGUCCGGGAGGGAGGUGGGGGGGUCAGCCCUCCGCCCGGCCAGCCGCCCCGUCUGGGAGGUGAGGGGCGCCUCUGCCCAGCCGCCCCUACUGGGAAGUGAGGAGCCCCUCUGCCCGGCCAGCUGCCCCGUCCGGGAGGGAGGUUGGGGGGUCAGCCCCCCGCCCGGCCAGCCGCCCUGUCCGGGAGGGAGGUGGGGGGGUCAGCCCUCCGCCCGGCCAGCCGCCCCGUCUGGGAGGUGAGGGGCGCCUCUGCCCAGCCGCCCCUACUGGGAAGUGAGGAGCCCCUCUGCCCGGCCAGCCGCCCCGUCCUGGAGGGAGGUGGGGGUGUCGGCCCCCCGCCCGGCCAGCCGCCCCGUCCGGGAGGGAGGUGGGGGUGUCGGCCCCCCGCCCGGCCAGCCGCCCCGUCCGGGAGGGAGGUGGGGGUGUUGGCCCCCCGCCCGGCCAGCCGCCCCGUCCGGGAGGGAGGUGGGGGGGGUCAGCCCCCCUGCCCGGCCAGCCGCCCCGUCUGGGAGGUGAGGGGCGCCUCUGCCCGGCCGCCCCUACUGGGAAGUGAGGAGCCCCUCUGCCCGGCCACCACCCCGUCUGGGAGGUGUGCCCAACGGCUCAUUGAGAACGGGCCAUGAUGACAAUGGUGGCUUUGUGGAAUAGAAAGGCGGGAAAGGUGGGGAAAGGAUUGAGAAAUUGGAUGGUUGCCGUGUCUGUGUAGAAGGAGGUAGACAUGGGAGACUUUUCAUUUUGUUCUGCACUAAGAAAAAUUCCUCUGCCUUGGGAUCCUGUUGAUCUGUGACCUUGCCCCCAACCCUGUGCUCUCUGAAACAUGUGCUGUGUCCACUCAGGGUUAAAUGGAUUAAGGGCGGUGCAAGAUGUGCUUUGUUAAACAGAUGCUUGAAGGCAGCAUGCUCGUUAAGAGUCAUCACCAAUCCCUAAUCUCAAGUAAUCAGGGACACAAACACUGCGGAAGGCCGCAGGGUCCUCUGCCUAGGAAAACCAGAGACCUUUGUUCACUUGUUUAUCUGCUGACCUUCCCUCCACUAUUGUCCCAUGACCCUGCCAAAUCCCCCUCUGUGAGAAACACCCAAAAAUUAUCAAUAAAAAAACAAAUUAAAAAAAAAAUUUUUUUUUCAUGAAGUAAUGUGCAAUUGCUGUAAAGAUUUCCAAUAACAUUGAGGCAUUAUAGUGGACAUCUUUUAUUUUUGCUCAUCUAGUAUCUAUUCUUUCUUCUGGUAACACCACCUGAUUUCCCUUUGGGGAGCUAUCUCUCUUCCAAUUUCCAUUCAUGUGUUUCAGAUGGGACUGAGCCCACCUCUCAGCUCCAGAGACUGGCCAAGAGCCAGGCAUGGCCAGGGUGAUGAUGAACCUGGCAAGGCUAAUGGGAAUCAAUUCUGGAACUUUAGUUAAAACUACUGGGAAAGAGAGGUUCCCUUUCUCUACUGUGACUCACACCUGACAAAUAGAAUAUGGUGGAAGUGAUGCUGUGUUACUUCCAAGGACAUAGCUUCCACUCAGUACCCUCUUUCUUGAAUCACUCACUCUGGGGGAAGGCAGCCACCAUAUUGUGAGGCCACCCAAGCAGCCUUGAGGAGAGGACCUUGUGAAGAACAACUAGGGCAUCAGCCAUGUGAGUGAACCACUUUGGGGUUUUUCAUUUGUUUGUUUGUUUGUUUUGAAACAGGGUCUCACUCUGUCACUCAAGCUGGAGUGCAGUGGCAUGAUCUCCACUCACUGCAACCUCCACCUCCCAGGCUCAGGUGAUCCUCUCACCUCAGCCUUCUGAGUAGCCAGGACAGGUGCACACCACCACAUCUGGCUAGUUUUUGCAUUUUUUGUAGAAACAGGGUUUUGCCAUGUUGCCCAGGCUGGUCUCAAACUCCUGGGCUCAAGCAAUCCACCUGCCUCAGCCUCCCAAAGUGCUGAGAUUACAGGCAUGAGCCACUGUGCCUGGCUGGAGUUAGCCACUUUGACAGUGGAUACUCCAGCCUCAGUCAAGCCUUCAGAUGACAUCUUUAUUGCAUCCUCAUGAGUGAUCCUGAGCCAGAACUGCUCAGCUAAUCUGUUCCUGACCACAGAAACUUUGAGAGAUAAUAAAUGUUUGUUGUUGUUUUAAGCCACUAAGUUUUUUGUUUGUUUGUUUGUUUGUUUUUGAGAUAGAGUCUCACCCUAUCGCCCAGGCUGGAGUGCAGUGGCACGAUCUCAACUCACUAAAACUUCCACCUCCCGGACUUAAGCAAUCCUCCCAACUCAGCCUCCCAAGUAGCUAGGACUACAGGAGUGCGCCACCAUGCCGAGCUAAUUUUUGUAUUUUUAGUAGAGACAGAGUUUCACCAUGUUGGUCAGGCUGAUCUUGAACUCCUGACUUCAGGUGAUCUGCCUGCCUUGGCCUCUCAAAAUGCUGACAUUACGGGCAUGAGCCACCAUGCUCAGCCAUAAGCCACUAAGUGUUUAGAUAAUUUGUUAUGUGGCAAGAGAUAACUAAUACAAGAUUAGUUUAGGAAUCCAAACCUAAGCCUAUCAGCAUGUGGCAUUCCCCUGUGAACUUUGCUGGUUCAAGAAUAGGUAUGUUAUGAAAUUGUCCUAAUUAGACCCAGGGACAGACUUAUAAACAGCUGGGUGAAUAGCUCUCUUCUACUACCCAUAAACAUGAAAACCUAUGUUCAAAGUGUGGCUGGCAGCCAUCAUUAUAAAUAAAGCCCUCAUUAGUGCACUUGAUGAGUCUUAAGAAAGAAAGUGGCUGGGUGUGGUGGCUAAUUCCUGUAAUCUCAGCACUUGGGAAGGCCAUGGCAGGCAGAUGGCUUGAGGCCAGGAGUUUGAAAUCAGCCUGUGAAACAUGGGGAAACCUUGUCUCCACAAAAAAUACAAAAAUGAGCUGGGCAUAGUGCCACAUGCCUGUGGUAGCAGCUACUCAGGAGGCUGAGGUAAGAGGAUCGCUUGAGCCUGGGAGGUCAAGGCUGCAGCAAGCCGUGAUUGCACCACUGCACUCCAGCCUGGGCAACAGAGCAAGACCCUGUCUCCAAAAAAAUAAAAGCCAACUUUAGGGUGAAUAUAAUAUUGUAGAUAGCAAAUCAGAUGGACCUAAUAAAUUGCGUCCUUGGUGAAAUUAUUGAGCUACUGAAAUAAAUAACCAUAAACCCCUCCUUAACUUUAACCUUCUAGUUAUAUGAGCCAAUACAGUUCCUUAUCAUCUUAGCCACAAUAGCCUUCUUUAUGUUAGCAUUUGCUUUAAUAGAAACACUUCCCAGUAUUAUCAAACUCUUUUAGUAAUGUUGUUUUAGGUAUAUCUUAUGUAAAUUGUAAAUGGCUGGGAUUUUUUUCUUUUCUCAACAUGACUUUGACUUUGGGAGAAUUUACUACAUGAUCAUAGCUCACUGAAGCCUCUGACUCCUAAGCUCAAAGGAUCCUUCCCACCUUGGCUUCCUGAGUAGCUGGGACUACAGGUGUGCACCACCACACAUGGCUGAUCCAACGUUUUGAAAUCUGGAUCUUUUACAUAGAAAUUAAGUUGUGUAUCCACACUUUAAAAAUUAGAGGAUCUAUAAUGUGAGGCCCCUUAAUCUCACAUCACUGAGUGGUGGCUGGCCCCUUUAGAUGGGGUAUGUACCCGCUGGUUCACCACAGUGCCCCCCAUUCUAUGUUAUUUUUCCAAAGUGGAGAGAAUUUUAGUUUAUAUUUAUGGUCUCUCCUUGCACUAUUUUUUUCUUAUGGUAGAAUAUCUGUUUCCAUGACUCUAUUACUUUUAUUGAAGACCAAGAGAGC
rnacentral:lncRNA from 1 species